GCGUCAGUAGUGCAAAUGGUUAGAGUUCGCGCGCACCCCCGGAUAGACUGAGAUGUGGGUUCGAGUCCCACCUGACGCG